rnacentral:rRNA from 1 species
AGUAACGGCGUGUGAAGCCGCAACAGCUCAAAUUUGAAAUCUGUCGUCUUCGACGUCCGAGUUGUAAUUUGCAGAGGGCGCUUUGGCAUUGGCAGCGGUCCAAGUGCCUUGGAACAGGACGUCACAGAGAGUGAGAAUCCCGUACGUGGUCGCUAGCCUUUACCGUGUAAAGCCCCUUCGACGAGUCGAGUUGUUUGGGA